rnacentral:rRNA from 1 species
UACGAAGGGGCGAGCGUUGUUCGGAUUUACUGGGCGUAAAGGGCGCGUAGGCGGCCCUCCUAGUCGCGUGUGAAAGCCCGGGCUCAACCUGGGAAUUGCGCGCGAAACGGGGGGGCUUGAGUUCGGGAGAGGAGGCGUGGAAUUCCCAGUGAUAGAGGUGGAAAUUCGUAGAUAUUGGGAAGAACACCGGUGGCGAAAGGCG